CNACCUGCCGAUGACUCGGGGAUAGCCUUUCGAAAGAAAGAUUAAUACCCGAUGGCAUAGUUCUUNNNCAUGGUGGAACUAUUAAAGAAUUUCGGUCAUCGAUGGGGAUGCGUUCCAUUAGGUUGUUGGCGGGGUAACGGCCCACCAAGCCUUCGAUGGAUAGGGGUUCUGAGAGGAAGGUCCCCCACAUUGGAACUGAGACACGGUCCAAACUCCUACGGGAGGCAGCAGUGAGGAAUAUUGGUCAAUGGACGAGAGUCUGAACCAGCCAAGUAGCGUGAAGGAUGACUGCCCUAUGGGUUGUAAACUUCUUUUAUACGGGAAUAAAGUGAGGCACGUGUGCCUUUUUGUAUGUACCGUAUGAAUAAGGAUCGGCUAACUCCGUGCCAGCAGCCGCGGUAAUACGGAGGAUCCGAGCGUUAUCCGGAUUUAUUGGGUUUAAAGGGAGCGUAGGCGGACGCUUAAGUCAGUUGUGAAAGUUUGCGGCUCAACCGUAAAAUUGCAGUUGAUACUGGGUGUCUUGAGUACAGUAGAGGCAGGCGGAAUUCGUGGUGUAGCGGUGAAAUGCUUAGAUAUCACGAAGAACUCCGAUUG
rnacentral:rRNA from 1 species